CGACGUCUGACGAUCAUUUAUAGAACAACUGGGCUAAGAGUCUGGCAGAAGAUAGAAAUGUGGAAGUGAUGAAAAUGGAUACGAUUGCGAUUUUCUUGAACGUUUUAGCAUUGUGUAUCGGAUAUAUCGAAGGCCAAGGAUGUGGUUUUCCAGGUGUUCCAGCCAACGGCGGUAUUCAGCCACCAAAAGAGUUAUAUCACGUGGGGGAAACGGUUACGUAUUUUUGUGAAGACGAUUCCGUCAUAAUGGGUUCUUCCCUCCGAGACUGCAGAAUCGACGGAAGAUGGUCAGACGAAAUACCCGUUUGCACCACUCCGUUACAUCCUUUGGGGUCACCUCUAGCUGCGCAAUAUCAUUUACAGCACCGUCCUCAAUUAGCUAUAGAUGGAGAUAAAAACACUUGCACCCGUAUAAAACCUCGUAUGACGCGUUGGUGGAGAGUCAGUCUGAACGACUAUCACACGGUUCAGGCAAUUGCCGUUACUAUGCCGGAUACAGCAGUCAAACAUAAAUUUAUCCUUUAUGUCAUCUUUAAAAAUAGCACCAGUUUGGUCUACUUGAAAUGUGCCACGUUCGAAGGAGUCUUCGUGUCGCAGACUCUUCUCCUCUCUUGCGCCGAGGAACUGAGAGGAAAUAUAAUUCAUAUAGAAGACACUAGAAGGGUACGACAAGAAUUUGAGUUAUGCGAAAUUGAAAUUUACGUAAAACGAGAUAAAUAUAAAUGUGGAGAGCCGGACAGACACGUUGGUUCGCACGUGGCAAAAAUAUCACCGGGUCGCGCUCAUUACAGUUGUUCGUCCGGAUUCAUGUUAAAUGGAGCGAGAGAGAGAGUGUGUAUGCCCAAUGGACAAUGGUCCGAAAGUGCACCAAAAUGUUUGGAAACAAACUGUUCAAUUCCACCGCCCAUUUUACACGGAAAAGUUGACAUUUUCGCGGUACAAUCGGGACAUCCAUCAUCCGGAAAUUUAGUUUUAUAUUCGUGCAAUGUGGGUUAUAUGCUUUCUGGAAAUUCGACAAGAAUGUGCGAAAACGACGGAACGUGGAGUGGAAAAGCUCCAACUUGCCACCCGAUUUAUUGUGGAAAACCUGAAAUAGACGAUGAUGAUUUGGAUUAUACGCUGGUAAAUGGUACUACUACUUACGGAAGUUUAGCAGAGGUGUAUUGCAAAAAUAACGAUGCCAUAGAUUACACCAUUAGUUGCCAAGAUGAUGGAAAAUGGAGCGAGUUGGUAGAGUUGAACUGCACUUACGGAAGCGCAGCAGUUAUGCAGUCGUUUAAACCGGAAUUGCAAUUCACAGAAAGCAUUCUGAUUGCUCUUGUGUUUGCCGGAAUAGCCAUUGCCAUCGUGACAGUUUCUCUUAUAGUGUGGCAAAGAAAAGAUCCGACAACAAUGACGGAAAUUGAUCCUCCAGGACCAAAAGAAGUCAUCAGUUCCGAACCCGUGUCCACCGAUCGUCAACCUGUUUUGGAACCGCCCCUCAUCACUUCGACCAAGGAUGCGGAGGAAGCGUGCAAAUCUGCGGAAGAAGUGCCCAAAAGACUGAAUGAUGCAUGGUCCGCGUACGAUAGGCCCAAUAUGAAAGUGCGUAGUUUGCCACUGCCACCCAGCAGGAAAAGUUCUGCGGCAGGUUCGAAAGAGAAUAUUUACGAAGAGAUAGCAUUGUGGGCGAGGAGGGCUAUGUCCGUGGGAGACACUACAGAAGAGGACAAGAGCUCGGGUAGGAACACUUCCAAAUCUACAAAUGCCGAAUUGUUGGCACUCUACGCAAAAGUGGACUUUGAGAAGAAGAGGAAGUCGCGACAGAUGAAAGAACGAUCCAAUGAUGAUAAGCCUGAAGGGGGACCUGCAAUCAUCAAUGAUUCCCAACCAUUUUUAUUAAGAGAACUUCCGCCGAUUCCGACAGAAGAAUCAUCUUCGGAAGAGUUAAGUGAGACAAUAUCCAUCGAUAUAAAUAGAACUUCACACGAAAGCAAAUACAAUUUGACUCACGAUAAACAUUCCGAAGGGACUUCUUCGUCAGAAUAAAGGUCGUGUGAUAUCGUCCUGCCAAAUUUGUAAAUUCGUAUUCAUUAUCUUUUUUAAUCCCUGCGUACAUUCAUUUAUUUAAUUGGAUUAAAAGAAACGUCGGGUCAUCUGAAUGGUUAGAGGAACGAUUCAUUUUCGCUGAAAUUAAAAUGCAAUCCGUUAUACAAUUAAAAAAGGAUGUAAACAGUUUUAAAUUAUAAGCGAUUUAAGGCUCAAUUAUAAAACACAAGACAAUUUGUCCAGAGAAAAUUUGACGUGAUUCAGAACAGAAGUGGUGAACCUAUGGCACGCAUGCCCAAAGUGGCACGUCGAAGAAAUCAUCCGGCACGCAACGUUUUAUACAAUAUCGGUUUAUCAUCUUUUUCAAUCAGGUUCUUUACAUUUACUCUAAUUACAGCAUAUUAUUUUAUUUAUUUAAAUAUAGUUUUUUAAAACUAUUUUCGUCCUGUGGGCACUAAGAGAUCUUUUUUAUUUAGCAAACUCCAAAUAAAAUAGUUGGAUGGUGAAGAAUGGAUCACCACCUGAAAAUUUUCUGGGGUUUUGAUCUUGGGUUCACAAGAGCGAUAAGCUACCACUUUGACCGCUUGGCCAUUCCACCAAAUUUAUAUAUAGUUACUACAAGUCUAAAACUUCUUCAUACAUAAUCAUUUUUAAAGAAAAGUAUGCUUAAUAUGCUUACUAUGUGGCACGCAGACUCAAAAAGGUUCACCAUCCCUGUUCUAGAAGAUUGCAAUUGUUUGGUCAAGUAAGAGUAUUUAAUUAAUGCAAUUUUGAUAUACACAGUAGCAUUGAGGGAUACAUGUAUACAAUGCAGUGAAGUUUUUAAAGAGAUUAAGAAGUUCUUUUUUAUUUUAUUUUCAAAGGA
rnacentral:misc_RNA from 1 species